ensembl:lncRNA
GUGCUGAAAUGGAGACAGAUGCAGCCCCUUGGAUGUUGCGAUGCCACUCUUAGGGUUGGAUCCCAAAAGUAUGGAGGGGAUUUCAGCAACUCUAUCAGAGCAGCGGUCCUCUGCUUUUGCACGGUUAUAUCUGCUGGUCAUGUCAAUGUUACACACCAGCUCGGGGGAAGCAGGUCACUGGAGCUUUGCUUUCCAUUCCUGUGAUGGUCAACAGAAAAUCUGGACACUUAGAAUAAAUUAAACCCCAGAAAAAUGUUUGCUAAAAUGC